rnacentral:miRNA from 3 species
UUUUCCCGAAGUUGCGAAUCUG